CUAAGGGAACAGAGGCAAAGGGGUCCCAGUGGAAAAUUCUGUAAGGACAUUAGAGAACUGUAAAUACUGGUGAUUAGUGUCAUAAACUGGCUUUGCUUGCAGAGCACGGUCGACAUCCCUCAAUCGCUGCAAUCUUCGGGAAACAAUUCCUUCCAAAAGCAAGUGGGAACUCAAAGCUAACACAGAGGAACCCACCCAGAGUCCCAGGCCGCAGAAGACACUGAGUUUAUGUUGUGUGCUCGUAGCAUGUGCACUUUCUCUCAUUUGUGCAGACACUGAUGCUUCCUAA
rnacentral:lncRNA from 1 species